UACGAAGGGGGCUAGCGUUGUUCGGAAUCACUGGGCGUAAAGCGCACGUAGGCGGAUUGUUAAGUCGGGGGUGAAAUCCUGAGGCUCAACCUCAGAACUGCCUUCGAUACUGGCAAUCUCGAGUCCGGAAGAGGUUGGUGGAACAGCUAGUGUAGAGGUGAAAUUCGUAGAUAUUAGCUAGAACACCAGUGGCGAAGGCGGCCAACUGGUCCGGUACUGACGCUGAUGCGCGAAAGCUAGGGGAGCAAACAGG
rnacentral:rRNA from 1 species